AGGCCACACAAUGAGGAGGAAGACUGAUGAUUUUACAGAUGUCCAGAAGACAGUCAUUGACAUCCUUCACAAGUAAGGUCCCAGAGCCUGGAGGAAGAAUGGAGAGGCACRGAAUCCACAUUGCUUGAAGUCCAGUGACAAGUUUCCACAUUCAGUGACGGCUUGGGGUGCCACGUCAUCUGCUGGUGUUGAUCCACUGUGUUUUCUGACAGUCAAUGCAGUCAUCAUCUACCAGGAAAUUCUAGAGCACUUUUUGUUUCCCUCUGGUGACAAGCUGUAUAGAGCAUAACUUGGCACCUGGAGCACAUUGUCAAAGGUACUAAAAGCUGCUUCGAUGACCAUGGAGUUCCUAUUCUUGACUGGCCAACCCUGGUGUAUGUAAACAUCUGAAUUUAAAGAAAUAWAAUCUGAAAACUC